GAUUCCUGGAGGGAGGGAGAAGACAGACAGUAAAGUUCCUCACACCUCUCCUGGGAGGCCAGAGAUGGGGAAGCUUGCUUUGGAUACAUGAAGCCUGAGGGAGUCUCAGCUGGCACUCUCUCCUCUAGACUGACUCCAUCUGUCAGAGGCUGCUCCAAGGCCACCAGCUCCCAAAGGCCAUGCCUGGGCCCCCUCACUCCCACGCCCCCUCAAGCCGAAGAUCACUGCUCCCAUGCAGAAGAGCAGCUGGCACAGCCUCAGGAAAGGGCCCACUCAGACCAGAGGAAGUCAGGUCCCCCGACACUGGAGUUACAGGUGUUUGUGAGCUCCCUUGUGAGUGCCUGGAAUUGAAUGUAAGUCUUCUGGAAAAGCAGCCAGUGCUCUUAACCACUGAGCCAUCCUUAAGACCCAGGCCCACCUCAGUUUUAUCGUUUCCACCUCUGUCAGCUUCAUCAUUGUAGCAACAAAUACUAAAUUGGGUGGUGGAACCAAGGGCAGCCCUCAGCUUUGUGUACUGUACUGGGCCACAGGGUAAGAAAACAAUGGGAUUCUGGGUGGUGUCUCACAUGGAUAUAUGCUAUGGACAAGAAAAGUCACAUCUCAGCAAAGAUUCUUGCAGGGACAGAAGGCAGAACCAGGUCAGAGGACCUUAGUUGGGCAUGCCAACUAGCACCGUCCACUGACUUCACCUACAUCUCCAUCUCACACAGCACAGCUUCUGCCUCUGCAGACAGAGCGCCCGCAUGCUCACCUGCUUAUAGGGAACCGAUCUGGCAAUGGGAGGGGCCCAGAAUCCAGACUGAUCUGGACAGUGACUGACGAGGGGUAGCUUCUGGAUGAGUGUGUAGGAUUCGGGAAAGGGGUUGAGUCGUGUGUUACUGGCGGAAACAAAUGCUCACAGCUGAGCUGCAUGUGAGCCCUACAGCACCAGUGAAUGCAGAGACAGGCAGACGGUGGCAAAGAAACCCAGUGGUGAAACUAUAAAGUGGUUGUUCACAGGCAGCUCCUGGUUAGAAGACAAGUCUGGGGCUGUCUCUCCAGGUGACUGGACCAAAAUGGGCUGCUACUCCACAGGGGCUGUGCUGGCCAGGACAAACACCCAAAUCACCUCUCCAGCUUCCUUGAGCUGUGUGUCACUUCCACCCCAACACAAAGCCCUACCUGACACCAAUCCUGAGGCCAGAACCACAGACAUCAUCAACCCCAGUGAAGGAAGCAUAGUGUCCCUCUACUUCCACUGCCCUUAUCAGGAGGGUCUCCCACCAAAGGGAUGCAAUCACAUACAGUGUGGUCAAGAGCUAGGCAGAGGCAGAGGCAGGCAAACCUCUGGGUUGGAGUCCAGCCUGGUCUACUCAGAGCAAGUUCCAGAACAACCAGAGCCACACAGAGAAACCCUGUCUCAACAACAACAACAAAAAAACAAAAACAAAAAAAAAAAAGGCUGAAAGAGGCCAGUUGUAUGGCUCAGCAAGUUAAGGUGCUUGUCUAGUGAUUCGAGAUUGAUCUCUGGACCCAUACAAAGGUGGAAGGGAAAAACUGACUCCACAGAGGUGUCCUUCGACCUCUACAAGUGUGCCGUGGCGAGUGUGUGCCCACAUAUAUCACACACACACACACACUAAUUUUUUUUCAAGACCAGGUCUUACUAAGCAGCUUGGGUUUUCCUGGAAUUCAUUGUGGCUGGUCUCAAACAGAGAUCUGCCUGUCCCUGCCUUGCAAGUGCUGGGAUUAAAGGUGUGCACCACUGUCCCCAGUCAGUCAUUAUUGUUUAUUAUUAUUUAAGAGACUGAACAGUGGGCUGCAGAGAUGAGUCAGGGUUUAAGAGCACUGACUGCUCUUGCGGAAGACCUGAGUUUUAUUCCCAGCACCCUUACCAGGCAGGCUCCAGAGAUGUCAAUCAACACCCUCUUCUGACUUCUACAGGCACCUGUACUCACAUACCUGUACCCUUCACACACACACACACACAUUUUUAAAGGUUGAAAAGCAAUCCAUACAGCCACUCUCCUAACUAGCUCCAUGACUACCAGAUCCACCAUCUUUUUCUUCUGUGUACAGAAUAGAACUCAGUGUUGCACACACUAGGCAGCGCUCUACAUAGAGUUACCUCCUCAGCCCACAUCUCACCACCACUCCAACCCCCAAGCCACCAUCACCUCCACCACCACUGUCACCAUCUCCACUUCACCCCCAUCUCCAUCACAUCUUCACCACUUCUACCACUUGCACCCCAACAUUAUUAAAAUCCCUGCCAAGCUCCCAUAACAUGGCUACCAGUAUAGACACUUAGGUUACUGCCUUCCUUCAUGAGUCUGUUACAGGCUGUUACAGUCAAUGUCUAGCACACACAUGGGCACGCGCGCGCGCGCACACACACACACACACACACACACACACACACACACACACACACACACACUUCCAGGAAGCACUCCAUCAAUGCUGCCCCAGCUAGAUUGUCUAAGAUCUGUGAACAUUUUGUUCUUCCCCAGGCCAGGCAGUGUGGCUGGACCACAGGGCUAGUAACUCCAAUGCCAUUACUGCCUCAGACUGACCUAAAGGCCAUGACUGCAGAUGCCAGGUUCUUUUGGCUUCCCUGGUGGGUGUUCUGACCAUCUGGGUAGGACAUAAGAUGCCCAGGGAGACUGGACAUCUGUGUACUACUACAGCAAUGUCAGAACAGGCAUGUAGGAGCUGCCCUUUCUCAGCAAGUGCUGAUGUAAAGGGGUCUGAGUGGGCUCAGAGCACUCAGGCCAAGGUAUAUCUGGGCACCCAAAGCCCUAGAUGGAAGCAACUGUUCCUUCUGGCCGGGGCCAGACUCUUGGCUUCUUCAUAGGGCAGUAGGAACACUGUGUUUACUUACCUCAGACUGCUCAGGUGUCACACAAGUGACCAGUGGCCAGGAGACAACAAAAAACAAGCCACACCCCAGAGGUAGAAAUGGCACCUUCUCCUUAGAGGCACAGGUCCUAUGCAAGGUUGCCUUAGCCAUGUCUAACAUUGAGGAUAACAGUGAAGUCUCAUUCCUGUGGGGGGAGGGGUGUCCCCACAGGGUUCCCACUGGUUGAGCAUAUGAUACUGCUAUGUCUAUGCCCUGCCCUCAUCCCUUCCUUAUUUCCCCCCAAAGAUGAGAAAGUGGAGUGGCACAAGAGCAAAGGUGCCACCCAGCCUGCUUCCCACCCUCCCACUGCCCCCA